CUCGACUCUUGAUGCGUAUUUUAGAUGAGAGAAUGAUGGGUUGCUUGGUUUUUGGCUGGAUUUGAGAUUUGAGAAAUUGAGAAUUUUUCUUUUUCCUUUUCUAAAGCCUGCAACUAUUACCCUGCCUACUGAACUCAGUAUCAGUAACUUUGACAAUUUUCUUCUUCUUUUUUAAAAAAAUCGGUGAAAACGGGUAUAGCGGACCCAUUUUGCAGCUAUUCCCCGUCACGGCGUUAUUUCGCGGCCGUUACCCGCCGCUAUUGACGCGAAAUUUAUUCACACCGCGAUUUCAACGUUUAGCUAUUCGAAUCCCUUGAAAAAGGAAUAUCAUACAAUUAAAUUUUUUUAUCAGUAUCUACUUUGCUGCAGGCUUAAAGCUUAAGCUAAGGGAGAACAAUUAAACUGAUCGAACGAGCUAAGAUUAUGUCCAGUUUUCGGCUUUUUUUUCCUUAUUUAGGUCGAAUGGUGAUGGAUUGCUCACUGACAUUCAGAUUCCGAUAACGAUGAUAUAGAAGAGAUUUGGUUGAAGGAGCCCAACUGUGGGACAACACCAAUGGCUGCUGCAAUGUGUUAAUCUUUUUGUGAGAACGUAAUUAUUUUGUUUUAAUUUUAUGCUAAUGGGUGAAGCUGUGAGGGGAGUGAUCGUAGACCAUGCGUUGCUUCAAUAUGGGACCAUACAACCCGAGAAUUUCAAGAGCAACGGAACUCUUUCCUUGCUCCGCAAGCUCCUAUUUUCCAAUAUUCAAACGGCCAUUUCCUAUGUGUUGCCUGUUUCAGCUGAGCAAGUUAAUCUCCUGCAGACAAUGGCUAAGCUACACUCUUUUGAAUGCCUUCCUUUGACGGCAUCUUCCCCGGACAUUGCAUCUCGUGAGAUUGCCCAAACUUGGUCUCAUAUCUCAGGCACCAUUUUGUAUCUCCUUCCUAACCAUGAUGCCUCUCCCAAAAUAACCUGCACAUACUUCUCAAUUGCUCUUGAUGAUGAAGUUACCAGUGCAUUCCACAAUUCAAACAGGAUUUAUAUGGAGAAAUUGGAAGAGCUGCCUUUGACUAUUUGCCACCUAAAUAAAAAGGCAAUAAGCAAUGAUCUUGUGACGGUUGGUUACAUUAUGAAGCCUUCUCGCGAGGAAGAUUUCGCCAAGAGGGGUGCCUUUCCAAUUUGUCCAACUCCGAAUGGGUUGAUGUUUUUGCCCUUAACUUUUGAACUUCCUAUAUCAAAACAGUUAGAAGAGGUUGAUGUGAUUCUCCAUAAAGCAACUGAUGAAAUUGUGUCCAUUGAAUUAAAUAGCUCCUCAGAAUCUUCCUACCAGAUUGGUUACACGAAAGGAAUGCAAGAACUGCAAAGGCAUAUUGAAAAUCACAAUGACUGCUUCGAAGUUGAUCCACUUAAUAGUAUUUACCCUGUACUUGAUCGGUUAAAGAUCCAACAACUUUUACUUGGGCUAGAGGAUCUUAAUGUAGGGGGACGCUGCAAAGUCAGGGCUCCUCACUUUCUCAAGGUUAACAGUUUUGAUGAACCUGAUUUGGUACAAAGACUGCAUGAUGCAACACUGUCUCUUCCAAGUAUAGUGAAACCGCAGGUUGCUUGUGGUGUAGCUGACGCUCACAGUAUGGCAAUUGUCUUUAAAGUUGAAGACUUCAAGGUUUUGAAUGUUCCACUACCUGCUGUCAUUCAGGAAUAUGUUGAUCAUUCAUCCACUUUGUUCAAGUUUUAUGUUCUGGGUGACAGAGUUUUCCACACAGUAAAGAAGUCUAUGCCUAAUGCUGACGUUUUGAUAAAAUCAUCCGAAAAAAAUGGAUCAAAACCUCUUCUCUUUGAUAGCUUAAAGUCUCUACCUACUGCCACCGCAAACCAGCAUUCUGAAGGUUGGGAUCCAUGCCUUGAUCUUGCACUAGUAAACAAGGCUGCUGAGAGGCUUUCGAAGAGGCUGGGUCUUACUAUUUUUGGCUUUGACGUUGUUAUUCAAGAAGGUUCUGGCGAUCAUGUCGUUGUGGAUGUAAACUACCUGCCGUCAUUCAAAGAAAUUCCUGACGAUGUGGCUGUUCCUGCAUUUUGGGAUGCUAUUAAAAAGAAGGUAGAUUUGAAAGCAGUGAAGUAGCGAAGUAUGGCUCCUCUUCCCAUGGAGUCUCAUGAUUAGCAAGAGACAAGAAAAAGCAAGGCGGGUUCGGAUCCUGUCAAAACAAAAGCAAAGACUAAAUUGUCUUGAUGACUUCCGUGAUACUUUGACCUUAAGAAGUAAUGCUUUCUUUUUCCCUUCUCCUGGUUGAACAAAUUAGUGUAACAAUGUUGUGGAUCAUUUGUUAUUUCAAUGUAGUGCAACGAUUAGGAAUUCUUGUUUUA